rnacentral:rRNA from 1 species
GACGAACGCUGGCGGCGUGCUUAACACAUGCCAGUCGAACGGAAAGGCCCUGCUUUUGUGGGGUGCUCGAGUGGCGAAAGGGUGAGUAACACGUGAGUAACCUGCCCUUGACUUUGGGAUAACUUCAGGAAACUGGGGCUAAUACCGGAUAGGAGCUCCUGCUUCAUGGGGGGGGUUGGAAAGUUUCGGCGGUUGGGGAUGGACUCGCGGCUUAUCAGCUUGUUGGUGGGGUAGUGGCUUACCAAGGCUUUGACGGGUAGCCGGCCUGAGAGGGUGACCGGCCACAUUGGGACUGAGAUACGGCCCAGACUCCUACGGGAGGCAGCAGUGGGGAAUAUUGCACAAUGGGCGGAAGCCUGAUGCAGCAACGCCGCGUGCGGGAUGACGGCCUUCGGGUUGUAAACCGCUUUCGCCUGUGACGAAGCGUGAGUGACGGUAAUGGGUAAAGAAGCACCGGCUAACUACGUG